rnacentral:tRNA from 1 species
GUUAUAUUAGUUUAAUAAGAACAUUUGUAUUGCAAACAAAAGGAGGAGAAAUCCAUAUUCCA